GAUGAACGCUGGCGGCGUGCCUAAUACAUGCAAGUCGAGCGAACAGACGAGGAGCUUGCUCCUCUGACGUUAGCGGCGGACGGGUGAGUAACACGUGGAUAACCUACCUAUAAGACUGGGAUAACUUCGGGAAACCGGAGCUAAUACCGGAUAAUAUAUUGAACCGCAUGGUUCAAUAGUGAAAGACGGUUUUGCUGUCACUUAUAGAUGGAUCCGCGCCGCAUUAGCUAGUUGGUAAGGUAACGGAUUACCAAGGCAACGAUGCGUAUCCAACCUGAGAGGGUGAUCGGCCACACUGGAACUGAGACACGGUCCAGACUCCUACGGGAGGCAGCAGUAGGGAAUCUUCCGCAAUGGGCGAAAGCCUGACGGAGCAACGCCGCGUGAGUGAUGAAGGUCUUCGGAUCGUAAAACUCUGUUAUUAGGGAAGAACAAAUGUGUAAGUAACUAUGCACGUCUUGGCGGUACCUAAUCAGAAAGCCACGGCUAACUACGUG
rnacentral:rRNA from 1 species